UCUCUAUGGAAGUUAGUUCUUUCUGCCUAAAAGUAUGUAAGUAGACAGUUUUCUUAGCUUCCAACGGAUGGCAAUUUUGUAGUAAAUGCGUUAACUAAAAUUUUAUAAAUUCAAAGUGGUUUUCUAUUUGUUAAAAAAAGUACAAUUAUCAUUUGUACUAACACAGUUAUUGAUCUAAAAAAAAGGCAGAUUACUUGGUAGGAGUUAUAGGCAAAACUUAAGGGUUUAGCAAAGUUUACAAGGCCAAGAGAUGAAAUGAACGUCUCCUCGUACCUGUUCAGUUUGUGCCUGGUGAAAGUAACACAACCAACGACAUCGGUCAAAUGGCUUCUGGAGAUGCUAUCAACUCCUUUGAUCAGGAUCUAUCAACCACGUCCAAUACUAAAACGGCGGAGAAUUCAAAUUUUAUUAAAGAUGAUCAAAAUAAUCCAUCUUCGAGUUCAGAUAUUAAUCAGCAUCGCCAAUCUCGUUAUGGAAACAAAGGGGAUAAGGAGCGCAAGAUUGGUCAUCGGCGCGUUGGAGAAGGUGGGGAGAUUACCUAUAAAAAAAUUCAAACUAGCCAGAUAAUGGGCUCUAUCCAGUUGGGCAUUCAACAUACGGUCGGAAGCCUGGCAUCUAAGCCGAAACGUGAUCUUUUAAUGAUGGACUUUUUCGAAAUUGAAAGUAUUACUUUCCCCCCAGAAGGAUCAAGCCUUACGCCAGCCCACCACUAUAGUGAAUUCAGAUAUAAAAUUUAUGCGCCUAUUGCAUUUCGGUAUUUUAGGGAUUUGUUCGGAAUACAACCAGAUGAUUUUAUGAUGUCCAUGUGCUCAGCACCGCUGAGAGAGUUAUCCAAUCCGGGUGCAUCUGGUUCUAUCUUUUAUUUGACGGCUGAUGAUGAAUUCAUAAUUAAAACUGUUCAACACAAAGAAGGAGAGUUUUUGCAAAAGCUUUUGCCUGGAUACUACAUGAAUUUGAAUCAAAAUCCGCGUACAUUAUUGCCAAAAUUUUUUGGUCUUUACUGCCUACAGACGAGUACUAGUAAAAACAUUCGAUUGGUUGUUAUGAACAAUCUCUUGCCCUCAUCAGUUAAAAUGCAUUUGAAAUAUGAUUUAAAGGGAUCGACGUUCAAGAGAAAAGCUUCAAAAGGGGAACGUUCAAAAAAAUCACCAACUUAUAAAGAUCUUGACUUUAUGGAACAUCAUCCAAAUGGUUUGUUUCUAGAAGCCGAAACAUAUAGCGCACUUAUCAAAACAAUUCAACGCGACUGUACGGUUUUGGAAUCAUUCAAGAUUAUGGAUUAUUCGCUUUUAGUUGGAGUUCAUAAUUUGGAUCAGGCGAGCAAAGAAAAGAAAAGUGAAAGUAAAAAAUCAAAAGUUCCCAUUGCUGAGGAUUCCGAUCUUGAGGACAAUCCAGAUGGGGAUGGAGAAGCCACUGGUGGAUCGGAAGGUCGGGAAAGAGAAUCAUCGGUGGGCAUAAAUCGUAAUAAAUCAGCAAAUCGACAACGUCUAGUGGCGCAUUCUACAGCAAUGGAAAGCAUUCAAGCCGAGAGCGAGCCUAUAGACGACGAAGAUGAUGUUCCACCUGGUGGAAUUCCUGCCCGAAGUGAAAAAGGCGAACGUCUCCUUCUCUACAUCGGUAUAAUUGAUAUAUUACAGUCUUACAGAUUGAAGAAGAAACUUGAGCAUACUUUCAAGAGUAUCAUACAUGAUGGGGACACUGUAUCAGUGUGCCGGCCAUCAUUUUAUGCUCAAAGAUUCCAAAACUUUAUGGCCAAAACCGUAUUUCGAAAAAUACCUUCGUUGGAUUUACCGGAAAUUAAAGGAAAUCAUAGAAAGUUUCGUACUUUGGUAACCAGUUAUAUUGCACUCAAGCACUCUCCUUCAAAAAGGAAAAGUUUGUCGAAAGCAAUACAGCGUUCUAUUGAAAAUGAGAGUGAAAAUCGCUCGGAAUGUGCCGUCGAACAUCGUCCUACGUAUCCACCGAACACUUCCGGCACUAAGACGCACACACAAUCUAGUAAGCCGUCAGUUGGACUGAAGUCUUCUGGUGUUGAUGUACCCACAUCGUCUACAUCGCUCGCUUCCACAACCCCCGCUGUUCCGAUGGUUGGCCCUCGAUUAUCUAUUCAAUAUGCGGGCAGUGGUGCAUCAAAGUCUAAGGUCCCCCCACCUGUGCCACCUAGAGGUUCACCUCGGCGAAAGAAAAGUGAUGGUCAUAACGAAGUCGGGCGCGGUGUUUCCAAUACAGGUAGAUAUUCCAUCGGCAGCAACAAUAAAGAGACUAGCAUACAAACAGACAUAGUGAACCAUUCCGUCAAGAGCUCCUCACCAACAAUAGCAUCAACAUUUAAAACCGUAAAAACCCCAGAACAAAAACUACCUCAAGCAAAAAACACCUUGCAAGUUAUGGAGAAACCACUGCCCCGAUUCGGUGAGUGUCGUUCACCGAGUAAUGUACAAGAUUGGUUGGAGUUACACGAUUUGUUUGACAUUGAUUUGCCACCGCCUCUGCCUCCUCCGCCCAAAAUACAAACAUUAGCUACAUCUCGCAAGCCAUCGCGGCCCCUCAGUCCUGACUCGGUGAAUUCCCCGACGAAAAACCGUACAAUAUGUCGCUCAAUCGCACCUAGCGAUUCAAUAAAAUCAACAUACUCCACUGCUCGAUCGGAGGUUCGUUCGCAUAGGUCAUAUCGGUAUAAUUUACUUCAUCGCGUCGACGUGCUUCAACGCCAAAACAGUGUUAUGUCACGAUCUGGACGACCAUCGAUUGGCUCGAUUGUUUACAAUUUUCCGCCUAUUGACGCAGAUCCACCUGAAAUUCCAUUCCCGCGUUCCUCGGAAAACCUGAAAAGUUAUCGUCGAUCUCAACAAAAAAGUAACAAGCAUAGAAAAAUAUUUCAAUACGCUGAUAUGGCUCUUCGUGAUGAACGGUUCGAGGUUGAACAGGACGAAAAUCUACUGCAGUCUGUUACUGCAUUUGUAGAAGUUAGGAAUGAAAUAGAAUCAAAGUUUAAGUCGCGUAAAUCUCACCCACCUCCUGCAAUUCCAUCCAAUAUGCAAAAUCAAAACGAAAAACAAGAAACAAAAAAGAACGACCCUUGUUAAAAACAACAAUGCAUGGAAGGUCGUUAGAGGCUUUCACACAUAAAUUCAAACAUAUAUAUAUAUAUGAACAAAUAUUAAAACCGUGUGUUUACAUUACUUGCUUCUUCAUCCCUCUUUUCCAGUCCCAAUAUAUGCAAAUCGCCUCAUUGCCUUGUACCCUUUUAUUUAUUCCUAUCUCCUAACCCAGUUUAAUUUUCAUUGAUUAAUGCAUUGUUUUCAUGUAUCGCUAGGCUCAACACCUUCUUGCAGUUCAACGCCUCCACCCGCGUUUGAUGAUAUUUCUGAAGACAGUUCGAAUAGAAAUAGUUCGUCUUUUGGUAGAAAAUCGCAAUACUCUCACGAGCGUAAAAUGAAUGUCGGUCCAGCGUAUCGAGGCUCUCAAAAGGACGAUAUUGUCAGCAUUUCUGAAAUACACUUAGACACAUAUUUGGCUGUAGAUACUUCAUCCAGUAGUCAAUAUGGAUCCCGUGGAGGAUUGGCGUGGACACCACCAGCUUCUGGAGAGGGGUCAACACCGACUUGGACAGAAGGAACGCCAAGCUUUACAGAUUCCAGCUCCAGUGGUGAUAUUGAGAACUUUUCCCCAAUUAACACAUCAAAAAUUGACCGACAUAAAGCAACUGUGGAAGACACACUCAACUCCCUUUCAUCGGAAAUGGUUCGAUAUUAACUAAAUAAGUAAAUCUGGACUGAAGGAAGAGUUAAAUUUGUGACAAAGAACCACAAGCAGAUAUGUGCAAUACUCGUGCGUGGGAUUGAGUACCAACAGAAGUACUAUUGUACUUUAAGAGGGCAAACCUAUUCUUUAAAGAACAUACGCAUUGAAUAUUUGAAGUCUUAUUCAGGUUUAUUAACCUUACACUUCAGAGAUGCCAGUGAUUACAAAAUAGGUUCAUAGCAGUACUAGACACAAGCAAACAUACAUUAAUAUAUAUGCUGAAAUCCUGAAUAAAAAAUAUAAUACUGACGCAGAUAGGGUUAAAGUGUUUAAAACGCAUGUACACACAAAUAAUAAGAACACAAAUACAUAUUACUCGUUCUUAAUACAUAUGUGCUAUCUUUUGCUUAGCUCCCUUAAUCUUCCACACUUAUUUUUUUUUUGUCAAUUUGUCUACUCUGCCCCUUCCUCUUAAAAAGUACAGAACACCCUCUAAUGUAUAGAUAAAUGGAAAUGCAAUAACAUCAAACUGAUUUUGUAUUAAAGCAAUUCGUUUGUGUGCACUUACAUACAUAUCGCAGCAAGAACACAAGAGUUUCGGUUAGAUUUGUCAAUUUGGCCUUAAGAAACUCAUAAAAAAUUUAACGGAAAUCUCUAGUAGAACCCUUGGGUAAUUAACCAGUAGUUUAAUCGGUAGUUGGCUUGCUGUGAAAUGCAUCCACAAAUGUAAUACUCAUAUACAAAAUUGUUUAAACAAAUAUGUAUAUACAUAAAUACAUCCGAAUCUACACACAUAGUUCAUAUAUACUAUAUGUAAAUGUAUAUAUAUAUCAUAAUUAUAGUCAUAAUAUCUAAGAAAACAAUUUGCUACAUACAUACAAAACUAAAUUCAGUUAAAAGCUUAAACAUUCUAUGUAAGCUUGAUCAUACAUAUGUAUAUCCUGUUUAAACAUUUUAUA